rnacentral:rRNA from 1 species
UACAGGGGAGCCAAGCGUUGUCCGGAUUGACUGGGCGUAAAGCGCACGCAGGCGGGUGCGCGCGUGGGGUGUGAAAUCUGGCCGCUUAACGGCCAGGCGCCAUCCCAUACGGCGCGCCUGGAGCCUUGCAGAGGUCGGUGGAAUUGCCGGUGUAGUGGUGAAAUGCGUAGAGAUCGGCAGGAACACCCAGGGGGAAACCAGCCGACUGGGCAAGGUGCUGACGCUGAGGUGCGAGAGCGUGGGGAGCGAACCGG